AUGACCUGCAAGCGAGAGAGAAGCGGCUGGGAGACGCUGUGCACAGGGACCAGCACUGACGCCUCGGGUCCGGAACCCAGGCCUGGACUGUGUGCUCUCCUGUCAGAAACUCAGAAAGACCAUUCCAGAGAAAAAGCAGCCUUCUUACUCCUCGUGGCUUCAUCACUCACCUCGCCAAGCCCAGGCUGGCUCAGCACCAGGUAAGUGGUCUACCUGAAGCGUGGGUGUGGGGGAGGCGCCCUGCUACGUGGGCCCCUCCUGCUGGUUCGUGGGGCGUAGGGAGGGGCUGCCCCCACAUGACCUGCCCCUGCCCUGCUCUUCACUCCUCUGCCUACAGAGUAAGGACAGGCGGCCCCACAGCUCUGGCACCUGUCACAGGGCCCGGGCAGCACAGGCAGGUCCUUGGAGCAGGUACAAGGCACUGGGUUCAUUUAUGAAUUUAUGGAGCUCGCUGCCCCUAUCAGUGAGUUUCACAUCUGGAACAAGUAACCUUCUGGGUUCUAAUUUUUCCAGUUUCUUCUUUCCGAAUAGAAUUUUCCGGUAAUUUAGUACUGACAUGGAAAAUGUUUUGUAUUCCAAAGUAAAUAUGAUUAUAGACUUUUUUCCCCAAAAAGGAUCCAGGCAUUUGGUUUCCUACAUAGUCUUCUAUCUACUCCACCACCCAGGUUUCCUCCAGAGGAAGAACGUAUAUCCAUCCGUCUGCUUCUCUGACACCACAGAUUUAACUUAAACUAAAAAACUGUCAUUUUUACAGUCAUCCUAUUAGCCUGGGAGACAGAAUGAAUCAUGCUGCAGUGCUGACAGGCUCUCCCACACCCCGCACCUCAUGAGCAGCCCGAGGCACCAGGUGAAGUUCCAGGAGUCUUGACCUACUCUCUGGAAGGAGCCUUGGCACCGAGAGUCCCUGGGAGAGUCGAGGAAGACCCCUCCCCACCUUUCAAACCAAGUGAGGCAUCCACCAAUCUUGGUGUGAGGGUCACUCCCCUUCCUGCUCGGGGCCCGCGGCUCCUGCCACCCACCUGCCCCCGUCCGACCCCUCACCUCCGAGGCGGGCGGAGGUCCAGAGCCGUCCAAAGGCCACAGACGCCCUUCCUGGCGGGGGGAAUAAGACACCACAGGAAGAAGUUAGUUUCACGCGGCAGCACCAAAGCCAAGGGACCACACUCCUGUGACAAAAGGCCCUUCACACCUGCACCCCCAGGGAGAAUCGCAGCCACGGCGAGUCAGACAGUGCAGGUCUCCCCCCAGGAGCCCUGAGGCCGAUCCAUAGUCUAUACACAUGUGUUUUGAAGCUCAGGUGUCACCGAGCUGUUCGGUCCACAUCUGGACGCAGAGGGUCAGCCCUCGCAUGGGCAUCCCCACCCACGUGUGUCACCUUCCAAACCGGGACUGUCCGUCCACAUUGCGAACAUGGAGCUUCUGAAACCUGAGAACCCUACAGCGUCUUCUCCAGGUUGAUUCUUCAGUACAAAUGUUCACAAAGUGGGUGGAACCUGACAUCUCGUUUUUUCAAAAAUGUCUGGCCAGACUAACAGGGUGACAUGCAAACAGAAGGCGUGGCUAAGGGUCACUUCUGACACCGUGAACUUGUUGACAAAGCAUUUCAAUUUGUAACCCUUCCGAGCCCAAACUGCUGGCGACCAGCAGGGUCCACUGAGCUCCUGUGACUGUAAUAAGAGACCUGGAGGAAGAGGCGCCUGUAUUUUUGUAUUCCCAGGAUAUGCGCACAUGACCUUGUGGCAUCACUCGGCCUCCUGUGGCCUAAAGGUGCCCCAGGCAAACCUGGUCUUCCGAAGCGAAGGUCACCUCCCAGCUCGCCCGCGGCGGCCGCAGUCAGAGCAAGUCUGGGCUGAAGGUCUGACUCCACAGCCACACAAGGGCAACAGUGACAGAGCAACCCUGACCCUGUGUCCAGCCCCUGGCUGCUCCCGCGGUGAGGACGGCACAGACACCCCCGACGCUUCUAAGACUCACUGUUUCACCCUUGCUCUCUUCCCACCCUUCAGACGGGAGCUCAGUGCUCUCCUGCCUCCAGAGCCCACCGAGACCCGGCAACAACACACCGCAGACCGAAGUCCAGCACACAGCAUGGUGUCACCAAGUGAGGUGGGAGGGAGGGGACCCGGAGAGCAUGGCACAUUUUCUGACAAUGGCAGUAACCAUUCUCAGUGGCCGUGCUCAGAAUAACCAUUCUUGUAGGGAAAUAAAUUCCCUAGAAAUGAGCAACUGGAAAAACUCACCAAAUACACAUCAAUGUCUCUGAUUCUAAAUCCAUUCAUGCUUCCUGGUCCCCCUGCUGGCGAUCUUGGCAGUGUCACCCCCUCCUGGUUUCCACCCUGACCUCUGGGCACUCUGCUCCAGGCUCUGCAUGGGGUAAAUGCUGGAGUCCUGCGGGGGGGAACCCCGCCCGCCACGGCUGACAGGGCCAUCUAGGGGACAGUCCCCGCUCUCAUGGGUUCCAGUCCCUCCGUGGCACCACGCCUGCUGUUUCAGUAACACUUAACUCUCCCUGAAAACUGCCCCUUCCGCUGCGUCCCUGUCGCAGGACGUCCGCCCCUCCGGCCUCAGCACCUGCUACACGGGAGACGUUACAGCCACCAGACUGCUGUGCAGAGAACCAUGCCUAGAAGAUGAGUGGGUCCAGAAGGCCUGGAGCCAGCCCUGCCCCAGGCCACGCUGCCCUCCUAUGACCAAGACCUGCCCUGGGGCCACAGGCCCUCCAGCCUGCUCCCUCAAGGGCCCACAGAGAGUCAGGUCAAGACGCGGUACCUCGUGCCGAGACCCUUGGUUUCUUCGUCUCCAGACACCGGGGAGGAGGGGGCCCCGCGCAGGUCUGGCAUUGCACCUCCUGACAGAACCAAGCUCCUCUCAGCAGGGGAAGCACCCCUAGUCUCGGCUGAUGCCCAUACCGUCACGUUUUGUUACAUUCGGAGUAAGCCGUGAGACGAGGUGACAGCAGUUCACAGAAUUCUGAGCAACAGGAACAACACUGCUGGCAUUUUCACAGAAGCCCAAAAGCACCCUCGGCCGUGUCCUCGUCAGGUCGGCAGCGCAGGGAAGGAAGCAGCCCCACUGCCCGCAGGUCCACCCAGCCUAGUCAGCUGCAUAUGGUUCAAGCUGAGUAAAGUGUGCUGUCCCUCUGCUCCUAGUAGAUGGCCGGCCACCGCCUGGCUCACCGUCCAGCCGGCCGAGCUGCCUGGGAAGACAGACGUCAGUGACGUGUGCCCACACCUCUCAAGGCUGUGUCUGGAGUUCUUGGGCCCUUUAUUGUCUUCCUGUUACUUGGCGGGCUCAGAUAAGGAAAAGGAGUCCAGACAGUCUCAAAGCUCUGCAGCCACACAGACCAGACCCCGCAAACUGAGGCAGGGCGCCCUCAGAAACCCACUGCUCAGCAUUUGCUUUUCUUGGGACUGAAGGCUGGGUCCAUCGUUUUCUCUUCAUCCAGACGGUGGCUUCCACCAAACGCAGGGCCGGUCCGUCCCUCCCCAGGUCCCCCAGACGGCAUCUCAGGGAUGCUGCGGUGAUGCAGGCUGACCGGCCUCGGCCAACAGUCUCCCUCCGUCCUGCCCUUGGCGGGAGAGGAGCUAGCCCAGGGUGUGUCCUUCCACACACCCUGCUGCAGGAGGCGUGGGGCCCUGUGAGGAAGAAGGAGCCGGGGAGGAGCUCUGACGACAAAGCAAACCUUCCGAAUCAGGGCAGGCUCGGCCCAGAGGAGCUGCUGGUCCUGCCCAGCAUUUCCCAGAAGACUCCCUGAGAACCAGGGACGUACGGGGAUCCUGAGAUCCAGUCUACUAACCUCAGCCUCGCCUCCCUCUUUGGCCAGAGUAGAAGCCCAUUAGGAGAGGGCAGCUCAUGCCAGGGAGUGGAGUUUCCUCAGCCAAAUCAGAACGGCUGCAUGUUCAGCUCCUUCCUCAAAGACAAACCCCAGUACUUUCCAUCUUGACUGUCAGGUCUUCCAUGAGAACAGACACAAAUAACCUCGGCCCACAGUGUUAAACCAGGUCUCCUGGAGCUGAUGGGUAAGAUGCCCGGCACUUCUCGUAUCAGUUUACAAGAAACCCUCUUCUUGCCAGUGUGGUCAUGGAGACCUCAUAUCGUUCUAGAACAAAUGGGCCAAAACGCCCCAGAAGUGGGGGGUCCCAGCAAGGCACAGGCUGAGACCUCGGGACGCUCGCCCGCCGCAAGGCCAGCAGGGGACAUCCCGCACCCACAAGCUGCCAGCUAGCAGCGUGCGCUCCGGGGACGCCAGACCUGGGGCAAGUGAAAGGCUUUCGGGAGAUCGCAGGUGCUCGGAUAACAGACACGGAACCAUACACCCGCAGCGGCCCACACCCCGUCUUCAGUCACCUCCCUCUAAGGGGCGCAGACCCGGACCCGCCGUGCUGUGUCAGUCCAAGGGGCUCCCCGCGCCCAGCCCCUCUGAGCCCUCGAGAAGAGGCUGGUUGGGAUGCUGAGGGAGGGCCCCCUGGAAGGCUGCAGUCGCACCAUUCCCCACAUGCACAGGUGGCCCCCAGGAGUUGGGGGAAAUGCCAGCCAGCACUAGUGGGGUGGACGCUGCUACUGGGGAGGCUGGGGCUCGUGUGGUCAUGUUGGUCCACGUCCAGUUGCCAGGGGAGCUGUUCCCAACGCAGGGUCCCAGACCAAGACCCCGGGUGGUGCGCGUUCCCUGUGGCCCCUCCGCCCCUCCUUCCGGUUGCUAGCCACGUUCUCUUCCCUCUGCAGACGAAGCCAAACCAGCCAUCACCCACAGGUGUCAACAGAGCCCGGCACCUGCCGAGGUCAGGGCCUACUGACUUGGGGUCAGAACCCUUGUUCAUCGUGGGGUCUGCCCCGCGCACUGCUGGAUGUGCAGAGCAUCCCUGCAGCCCCCAACCCACGCCCUGAGCUGUGACAGCCAAUCCAUCUCUCAACACUGUCAAACUUCUGGGUGGAGACCACGAGCCCGAUGAUCAGACAGCUCUCCCAGCGCUGGGGUAAGAGUGGCGGCAUCUCCUAGGCCUUGUGCGGGAGACGCAGAUAGUUGGGGGCAGGAAGCACGCUCCCCGACACAUGCUCCCUGCGCCUGCACCCGCAUCCGGGAGGAGGAGGGGCAGCCUGGGCCUGAGCCACCUGGUCACGCGUGAACAGGGGCCUCCAGUGCAGGAACGUCGCAGAGCAGUACCCACGCCCCCCUUCUCAGGAGGAGAACCCACACCCUGAGAAGCCCAGCCCACCGGGGCCACGCAGAGGAAGAGCAGUGGAGUCAAAGGAACCAACCCGCUGGCGCGCGGCCCGAGCUCUGCCUAAUAAGCGCAGGACGGGCUCCCUCGGGCAGACCUGCAAGUGUCUGGUGACAAUGCCCGGCGACAUAGGUGGGGCCUCUCAGACGUGCCCUGUGGUGUAUGGCCCGGAAGGAGCCUUUGGGAAGUCACGAUUUCCAAAAAGGGAGGCUGGCGCCCGGCAGCCCCAGGAGAGGGUGGGCGCAGGCCAGUGGCGGCCCCUGGGCCCACCUCCAAACCCAGCAGGAGACUCCAUCUGUGUCUCCGCCCUGUGGCCUGCAGGCCUGCCCGCCCUCCCGCCCUCCCGCCCGGCGUCUGCUCUCAGGGCGCCUCAGCCAGCACAGACGGUGUGGACAGGACACAUCAGUAUGUGCAGGAGCCUGACUCUCAGCCGGGUGUCGGGCUGGUGCUGCUGUCGCACUCGCUCUUCGUCCUGUCUAAACCUGGGAGGAUUCCAAGUACACCGGCCUCUGCGCCCCGGCUCCACGUCCACGGGUUCCACCAGCCCUGCAAGUUCCAGCCACCAACCACGUGGCACUUAAAACCGCUGACGCAUGGUGCACAUCACACUGGGCAUGUAACCUAGAGACGGAGGUCCCCUGCACACCCCACCCUGUUUCAUAUGGGGACAUGAGCACUUCUGGUUUUCUCAUCCGUGGGGGUCCCGGACCAGCGCCCUGGACCCUGCGGGCGACGGCACCUUGUGUUCAGAGCCUGGCAAGAGUGAGAUCCUCCUGUGGGCAGAGAGUUGCCCUUAUUCACCCCGGGGCUCGGGGUCUGGACCUCGGGGACCCAUGCUGCUGGGGUGACAGAGGGCCCACAGAGAGACUGUCACCGUGUGAGGGAAGCCGCAGUCCCCGGGCUGGAGGGGCUUGGGGCUAGCGGCCCAACCAGGGCAGGGACCUGGGAUGAGGGAGGGGACAGCAGAGGACGAGAGCAGGCCUGACCUGCAGCCCCAGGGCACUGGCUCACCGCUGUGGUUUGAGGGGAGGCACACAGCAGCCCCCCGUCUGUCCUGGGCGGCCAGGUGUGCGCAGAGCAAGCCUCAGCUCCAGCCCCGGGCCAGCAGGCCUGAGGACUCCGAGCAGCUCUGUCCCCCAAAGGGUCCCAGGGGCCCUGGGCCUGGCAGCCUGGCCACCAUUCCCGCCAGGCUGGCUGCAUCCCAUGCUCACGAUGGCCCCCCAAGCCAGUCGCCAGGCAGCCCUAGGCUCCAUACACUCCUAUGGCCACCACGGGAGCCAAGGACCUGUAACUGUGGCCGGAACUCCAGACUGGAAAGCCGACUUGGAACACAAGCCCCUGGUGGCCCCUGGUCUCUGAGGUGCAGGUCACAGAGCACUGUGGCCAAAUGUCAAUGUUUCACUUCCCAAAGGAGGGCGGUGACUCAGGGCAGGAUGCAGCUAGAAACUUUAACAACCAUCACCACUACCUGAAGAGCCGCACUGCUCGCUAAGACCCACACAGCCCACCCCUCACCCCCAGGAGGGGCUGGACCCUCACCCCUGCCCCCGCCUUCCAGCUCGGCCACACCAGGCCCUGCCUGUCCCAGCACGGACGCAACUCCCAAGCCCAACGCUGAGGGGGAGGCAGACGCAGCACAACUCGGCCGCCACCAGGGCCAGGAGCAGGAGACACCGUGUGCUGACAGCCACCUGGGCAGCGAUGACCGAGCAGGGACUGCACCCAGAGGUGGCGCUGGCCUCCGUGGGGUUGCCCGACCUGGGUGUUGGGUUGGCGAUAACCCACCGAGCGGAGAACCUGCAACAUGAGUUUGUCAACCACGGGGUCUCAGGAUCCCGCCACACUUACCGGCUGCAGCCCAUCCCCAGGCCUCCGGCCCCGGCUCGGGCGGUGGAUGAAGGACCGAGUGGAGACUCGGUAGUGGCUAAGCAGGCAGACGAUGACAACGACCAUGACCGUGACCACCACCACGAUGACGACCACCUGGGCCAGCUCCAGCUGUGCUGUGACAGAAGAGGAGAGUUGUCAGCCUGGUGCCAGCCUGCUCCCCAGACCUGUCUUCCUCCCAGCCUCCUGGGACGGUCCCAGGGCAAGGCCAGACUCUGCUCUGACGGCGCAGAGGGGAGGGCGACCUCUGGGCUCAGCCUGACCUUGAUAAGAAACCAGCCCUGCUGUGCAAUUCGGGACAGGAAGGGCUCGGCAAGCGCAUCCCAUUGGCCCAACAUCGUGAGGGGCCCCCAUCGCCCCUGAACUCCAGCCGGCCCAGCAUGCCCAGCUCUGGACUCCUUCUCCUGGGCGGGCAGCCCUGCAGAGGCCCCCUCCUGGGAUACGAGAAACUCAGCGCACUCAGCACCUGAACCCCAUCUCUGCCAGAUUGACGCCCGCACUCCCCUACCCCCAGCACAGCUAAACCCACCUCUGUGGUGUGGAGUACUUCCACGCAGGGUCCACGCAGCCCUGGAGGGAAAACGUAGCAGUGAAAAGCCCGACCUCUGCGCUGCAGAGGCUCCCCUGUGCAAGUGAUUUAGAAGACAUGUCUGCACCGUCCCUGGGCCCUGCUGGGUUCUGCCAUCACCAGCACAACUGUUUAAACUGUGACCAUGCACCCCAACACAGGACAGCGCCACAGCACGCCUUCCAGAGCAACAGGGCACUGAGCCCCUUGGUCCUGCAGGGAGGGCCGGCAGCGCAGUGCCUGAGGGCAGCCCGGGGUCCCAGACUUCCCGCCGGCCGGCUCCUGGCCAAGCCAAGCGCUGCGCAGCUGUGUUCCUGAGGCUCCCCACACCCGGAAGGGAGGCUACUGCGAGGCCAUCCGUGUGCAGAGCUGGAGGCUCUGGGAGAGUGAGGAGGACGGUGCACGGCUCUGCUGUACAGCGGGGACGCUCAAGGCAGAGGGAAGGACAGGCGAGACGGGAGAGCUCUGUCCCAGCACUGCUGCCUGGGAGUGCAGCACACAUGCACACACACACGGGCAUGAUGAACUCAGUGCACAUAAAUGCACGUACAAUGCACUCAGUACACACGUGCACACACACACACACCAGUGUGCACACACGGCACACCCUCUUGCUGCAGCAGGACUCAGGCUGCUGGCCAGGAGGACUCUGUCAGAAAAGGGCUCACGCUGGGUCACGCAGGUAGGGGCUGGGUAGCACCCUCCCCAACAUCCACACCUUGGGCACAGAGGACUGGCGGCCGGGAUGAGGGCAGAUGGAGGGUCUUCCUGGUCCCACCACAUCCUGUCCUGUGGCACUGCCCUCACUCCUGCCCUGGCCCCCGCACACCUCAGGGACACCUGCUGGAUAGGGCUGGACUGCUGACGGCCCUGAGCCUGUGGUGGGCUGCCUGGGGUGCGCUCCGGCUCCAGCUUGGCGGAGCUCAUCAGCUACAGAAGAAACCCUGGGUGGAGCAGGGGUGCCAAUUGCCUGUGGGCACCCCAGGGAUGCUCGCAGAGGAAGACUCGCGAGUGAGGAGUGUGGCCGCGGUGGCUGAACACCGAGGGAGGCACGUCCAAGCACAGCACAUCUCUUACUCCCCAACGCAGAGGAGGGAGCAGCUCAGGGAGGGCGAGCACGUUUCCAAGGGUAGAGAGCAGGCUGGAGCCGGGACCCUGGGCCCUGAUUCAGAAGCGGCCCCGCAAGCCCUCCCGUCACUCUGCCCAGCGGGCAGGGAGCUCAGAAUCACCCGGCCACAAACCAAAGGCCCCAAAACCACCCAAGGAGGUCAGCGGCCCUGGGUAGACUUCCUGGAUUUGUCUGGGGCACUAGCCUGCAAAUCGCGUUAAAUAUCCUGUGUGCACGUGUCGCCAGAUGCCCUUGGAGACACAUGUCUCGUACACCCAUUGCGUUCCGUCAGACUCAAAACAGGAUACUUUGAUAUUUUUGGACAUUAGCUAUGGCAGGGACCCCUCACUGAUGUGCUCUCAGUGCUUACAGAACUGCAACACACAGAGUUUUGUGGAGAAAUGUGACUCCCCAACGCCCCGUCCUGCGGUAGGAACGUCAGGGGAAGUGACCACACGAGCAAGCUUAUUAACUCUAUCGGUCUACACGCAGCAACACCCUGUGUUAACAGACCACGGAGCUGACCUACACACUGUCGAUGCCAAUACAGUAUAUCUUCCCUCUGAUGGAAAAAUAAAAUCACUGUCAUUCUG